CCUGUGAGGGUUGCUGGAGGUAUCAGAAGUGCGAAUGCUGACAUAAGUAACGAUAAAGCGGGUGAAAAGCCCGCUCGCCGGAAGACCAAGGGUUCCUGUCCAACGUUAAUCGGGGCAGGGUGAGUCGACCCCUAAGGCGAGGCCGAAAGGCGUAGUCGAUGGGAAACAGGUUAAUAUUCCUGUACUUGGUGUUACUGCGAAGGGGGGACGGAGAAGGCUAUGUUAGCCGGGCGACGGUUGUCCCGGUUUAAGCAUGUAGGCUGGUUGUCCAGGCAAAUCCGGAUAAUCAAGGCUGAGGUGUGAUGACGAGGCACUACGGUGCUGAAGUAACAAAUGCCCUGCUUCCAGGAAAAGCCUCUAAGCAUCAGGUAACAUUAAAUCGUACCCCAAACCGACACAGGUGGUCAGGUAGAGAAUACCAAGGCGCUUGAGAGAACUCGGGUGAAGGAACUAGGCAAAAUGGUGCCGUAACUUCGGGAGAAGGCACGCUGGUGUGUAGGUGAAGUCCCUGCGGAUGGAGCUGAGACCAGUCGAAGAUACCAGCUGGCUGCAACUGUUUAUUAAAAACACAGCACUGUGCAAACACGAAAGUGGACGUAUACGGUGUGACGCCUGCCCGGUGCCGGAAGGUUAAUUGAUGGGGUUAUCCGUAAGGAGAAGCUCUUGAUCGAAGCCCCGGUAAACGGCGGCCGUAACUAUAACGGUCCUAAGGUAGCGAAAUUCCUUGUCGGGUAAGUUCCGACCUGCACGAAUGGCGUAAUGAUGGCCAGGCUGUCUCCACCCGAGACUCAGUGAAAUUGAACUCGCUGUGAAGAUGCAGUGUACCCGCGGCAAGACGGAAAGACCCCGUGAACCUUUACUAUAGCUUGACACUGAACAUUGAGCCUUGAUGUGUAGGAUAGGUGGGAGGCUUUGAAGCGUGGACGCCAGUCUGCGUGGAGCCAACCUUGAAAUACCACCCUUUAAUGUUUGAUGUUCUAACGUUGGCCCCUUACCGGGGUUGCGGACAGUGUCUGGUGGGUAGUUUGACUGGGGCGGUCUCCUCCCAAAGCGUAACGGAGGAGCACGAAGGUUAGCUAAUCCUGGUCGGACAUCAGGAGGUUAGUGCAAUGGCAUAAGCUAGCUUGACUGCGAGCGUGACGGCGCGAGCAGGUGCGAAAGCAGGUCAUAGUGAUCCGGUGGUUCUGAAUGGAAGGGCCAUCGCUCAACGGAUAAAAGGUACUCCGGGGAUAACAGGCUGAUACCGCCCAAGAGUUCAUAUCGACGGCGGUGUUUGGCACCUCGAUGUCGGCUCAUCACAUCCUGGGGCUGAAGUAGGUCCCAAGGGUAUGGCUGUUCGCCAUUUAAAGUGGUACGCGAGCUGGGUUUAGAACGUCGUGAGACAGUUCGGUCCCUAUCUGCCGUGGGCGCUGGAGAAUUGAGGGGGGCUGCUCCUAGUACGAGAGGACCGGAGUGGACGCAUCACUGGUGUUCGGGUUGUCAUGCCAAUGGCACUGCCCGGUAGCUAAAUGCGGAAGAGAUAAGUGCUGAAAGCAUCUAAGCACGAAACUUGCCCCGAGAUGAGUUCUCCCUGAGACUUUAAGUCUCCUGAAGGAACGUUAAAGACGAUGACGUUGAUAGGCCGGG
rnacentral:rRNA from 1 species